UUUUUUUUGAAAGGCAAGAAGAAAAAAACAUUGAUUACAUUAACGCAACGGAGCAGCAUUAUUUGAAUGAACUCUUAAAGACACGUUAGUUGAAACAAUGGGAUGCUGUUUUGUGCUCGCUCUGUUUGUUUUGCUCGUUGGUGGUGUGUUUGGUGAUGUGACGGUGUUCGUAAUGGAGGGAGAUUCAGUCACUCUAAACACUGAUAUAAUCAAAAAAGAGCAUGACAAGUUGCUGUGGUAUUUUGAAGACACUCGCAUCGCUCUGAUCAAUGGACAUCCCAACACGAGCUGUUUAUAUGAUGGAGAAGACGGGAGAUUCAGAGACAGACUGAAGGUGGACUAUGAGUCUGGAUCUCUGAUUAUCACAAACAUCACAACUCAACACGCUGGACGUUAUGAAGCAGAGAUCAUCAGAAGUGAGAGUUCAGGGAAAAGACAAAGUUUAAACAGAAACCGCAAGUGUGAUAGCACAAAAAUCACCAAAAAAAAACAGCAUCAGUCAAGAUGAUAACAUAAAAACUUUCAAUGUGAUUGUCACUGCUGCUCUGUCUGAUCAAGUCACAACUGAUGAAGAGCCCUGGAUGGAGAAGAGGGAGUCUGACUUGGAUUCAGGUCUGUCUUCAGCGGCUGUAGCAGGAAUUGUUGUUGGUGUUAUUGCUGUUCUGCUGCUGACUGUUGUAGCUGCUGCUGUGAUUCACUAUCGCCGCAGGAGCUCCAGAAAUACAGAAAGGGAGAAGAACAAGUGUGAAGGACUAAUAAUUGAGGAAAGAUACUGCAUUGAAAACUGACAUUAGAUCACACUAAGAUUUUUUUUUUUUUAAACAAAAUCUGAUUCACUGAUAGAUGACAUAUUUGUCUAAAAAAAAAAAAAAAGUUUGGGAAUUCCUGCACUACAUGAAAAAAGUGAUUGAAAAAAUGUUGUCCUAACUUUUAUCCAGGGGUGCAUUUCUCAAAAACAACUAUGGUUGCAAGUUCUUUUGUUACCAAUAGAGUUCAAUGGAAUUUACCACCACAGUUAGCUAACAAUACUUUGUUGAGGAAAUGCAGCCCAGAUCAAUAAUUACUGAAGGCCAGUGGAUGCCAUUGUGUGAGUAAUAUGUAAUGUAAUCUGUAAAAAGUAAAAGUAAUCUGAUUAUUAGGAGUUUAAAAUGUAAUAUAAUUAUAAGUACAAUUUUUGGGGAAUUUGGAAAAUUACAUGAAAAAUGAAUCAGAGAAACAUGACAAAUUUUGCAUUACAGGUACAUUUUGUGUCUUUUUUCCGUGAUCUUGUUUUUCUGUUUACAAACUUUUUCUUUGUCUUUUUUUGCUUCAACUCAAAGUAUGUAAUUCAUAUGUAUGUACUUCGUCUGUAUGCACGUGCUUUAGAAGACAUUUGUUCUGUAAAAUCUUUAUGGAGAAAAUGAACGGGACAAAUACUUCCAAAAUAAAAAUUAAUCGUGUCACUGUU